rnacentral:rRNA from 1 species
UACGAGAGGCCCAAACGUUAUUCGGAUUUACUGGGCUUAAAGAGUUCGUAGGCCGCGCGGAAAGUAGGGUGUGAAAGCCCUCGGCUUAACCGAGGAACUGCGCUCUAAACUACCGUGCUUGAGGAACCUAGAGGUGAGCAGAACUGAUGGUGGAGCGGUGAAAUGCGUUGAUAUCAUCAGGAAUACCGGAGGCGAAGGCGGCUCACUGGGGGUUUUCUGACGCUGAGGAACGAAAGCCAGGGGAGCAAACGGG